rnacentral:rRNA from 1 species
AUUCUCAAAUCAGGUAGGACUACCCGCUGAACUUAAGCAUAUCAAUAAGCGGAGGAAAAGAAACCAACCGGGAUUGCCUCAGUAACGGCGAGUGAAGCGGCAACAGCUCAAAUUUGAAAGCCCGCGGGCGUUGUAAUUUGCAGGCGGAUGUUUUGGGGCGGGCGCUGUCUACGUUCCUUGGAACAGGACGCCGCAGAGGGUGAGAGCCCCGUGCGAUGGCGCCUCCAACCGCGUAAAACUCCGCCGACGAGUCGAGUUGUUUGGGAAUGCAGCUCCAAGUGGGUGGUAAAUUCCAUCUAAAGCUAAAUACUGGCGAGAGACCGAUAGCGAACAAGUACAGUGAUGGAAAGAUGAAAAGCACUUUGAAAAGAGAGUGAAACAGCACGUGAAAUUGUUGAAAGGGAAGGGUAUGCGAUUAGCGGCCAGCAGGAGGUGCCUUCUCGUGAAAAGGCCGUGCACCGUCUUCGGACACCGUGCGCGGAGAUGGCGAGGGGGCGCCUGAGGUCUGCGACUCGAGGUUGCUGGCGUAAUGAUUGCAUACCACCCGUCUUGAAACACGGGACCAAGGAGUCUAACGUCUAUGCGAGUAUGUGGGUGUCAAACCCGCGUGCGGAAUGAAGUGACACGGUUGGAGCC